rnacentral:lncRNA from 1 species
UUGGGGUCUUUUGGGAAGAAACCUUGCACUUCUUUGGAUCAUAGUUGGCCCCAACCUUCUUCAGGAUGUCAGCUGAGGUUUCCUAGAUAGUUGAACCAGGUUCAUCACGUUUCUCGCUCAAAUUAACAAGGCCUUAAGCAGCCUCUCGGGAACCACUUCCCCUAACUUAAUGCCACCCUAUUAUACGCUACCACAAAUAGCAAGAACCUCUCAUUUCUUUUUCUUUUCCUUUCUACUAGACCCAUCCCCUUCUACAUUAUUUAUAGAUCCCACCAACACAAACGUAUUGUCUUCCCUUUCUACCACAUUAGAAAAUGCAA